UAUGGCUUUCUAUUCCUAUGUGAUCUUAUGUAUUAUCUCAUGUAGGGUUCAAAGCCAUUGG
rnacentral:pre_miRNA from 1 species